UACGUAGGGCGCGAGCGUUGUCCGGAAUUAUUGGGCGUAAAGAGCUCGUAGGUGGCUCGUCGCGUCUGCCGUGAAAGCUCAUGGCUUAACUGUGGGUCUGCGGUGGAUACGGGCUGGCUAGAGGUAGGCAGGGGCAAGCGGAAUUCCUGGUGUAGCGGUGAAAUGCGUAGAUAUCUGGAGGAACACCGGUGGCGAAGGCGGCAUCCUGGACCGACACUGACGCUGAGGAGCGAAAGCCAGGGGAGCAAACGGG
rnacentral:rRNA from 1 species